CGGGUGCACUGAUCCAGCCGGGCCUUUCCCUCUGUGGAACCCCAUGGCCUUCACUGGCUGUGGCGGGGAAACAGGACUUUUACUUUGAAAAAAUUAGAGUGCUCCAGGCAGGCCUAUGCUCGAAUACAUUAGCAUGGAAUAAUAGAAUAGGACGUGUGGUUCUAUUUUGUUGGUUUCUAGGACCGCCGUAAUGAUUAAUAGGGACAGUCGGGGGCAUCAGUAUUCAAUUGUCAGAGGUGAAAUUCUUGGAUCUAUUGAAGACUAACUACUGCGAAAGCAUUUGCCAAGGAUGUUUUCAUUGAUAAGGAACGAAAGUUAGGGGAUCGAAGACGAUCAGAUACCGUCGUAGUCUUAACUAUAAACUAUGCCGACUAGGGAUCGGACGAUGUUAUUCUUUGACGCGUUCGGCACCUUUCGAGAAAUCAAAGUGCUUGGGCUCCAGGGGGAGUAUGGUCGCAAGGCUGAAACUUAAAGAAAUUGACGGAAGGGCACCACCAGGGGUGGAACCUGCGGCUUAAUUUGACUCAACACGGGGAAACUCACCAGGUCCAGACACAGUGAGGAUUGACAGAUUGAGAGCUCUUUCUUGAUUCUGUGGGUGGUGGUGCAUGGCCGUUCUUAGUUGGUGGAGUGAUUUGUCUGCUUAAUUGCGAUAACGAACGAGACCUUAAACCUGCUAAAUAGCCCGUACUGCUUUGGCAGUUCGCCGGCUUCUUAGAGGGACUAUCGG
rnacentral:rRNA from 1 species